CGUGUAUCUUAAGUGGGGCUUUUCAAAAGCGCUUUUGUUGCUUUUUGUUCGCUGGGGGAAGGCAGGAUUAUACCCAACAAGCAACCCAAAGCUAUGGGGCCUACCCCACCCAGCCCGGGCAGGGCUAUUCCCAGCAGAGCAGUCAGCCCUACGGACAGCAGAGUUACAGUGGUUAUAGCCAGUCCACGGACACUCCAGGCUAUGGCCAGAGCAGCUAUUCUUCUUAUGGCCAGAGCCAGAACAGUGAGUCUCUCUCAGCGGGUCACCUCUUC
rnacentral:lncRNA from 1 species